CGGGCGGGCGGUCAGCAGGUUCACGUCCCCCCCCGCCCCCCCCAGCCUACAGGCUGAGAUCUCGGGCAAGUCCUCUCCCAGCCAUGCUUCAUCUGUAAAAUGGGCGCGAUGAACCCCGUCCCGUGGGCAUGUUGUAAGAAUUAGACCAGAGAUUCCUACAAAGUCCUAGGCCUGUGGAUUUCGCAAACAAUUAAAAUUUCAAAAAUCAACUUUAGUUCCUGUCAUAGGGUGCCAACUUUAGAUCUGCCAAGUACGAACAUUGAAAACAAAAACAAAACACCAGCUACUGUCUACUGUUACCAUCACUCCACAAAAGAAGCGAUAUUUGGAUACAGAAAGGGUUGGAGGCGAAGAGAGGGUGGCCCCGUCAGUAAAAGGGGGCGGCUGAGUCCAAAGCCUCCUCCGUGCUUUGUCCCUUCACCUCUCGGACCGGGUGUGCACAGCCCCAGCGUGGGCCCGGGGCUCCGUGGGUGCUCUCCCAGGGGGCCUGGUGCCCGUCCCCAUCUCCUCGCUGGGUGCUUCCAGCUCCGAGCUGGAGAACUUACCACCUUUAGAGGGUGAGCUCUAAUCGAAAGGGCUCCUCCCCCUGUGUGAUGAGUCCCAGCUGCCGUCCCAGACUUGCCCCAACCAAUCCACUCAGCAAACCGGGUGCUACUUGGAGGAAGAUUCGGUCCACGCAGGGUGCCUAUUGAUGCUUUCGUGCGCUGGGGCCAUGCAGAAUCAAAGCUGCAGAUGGAGAUGGGACAUUGAUCCUCUGCUUCAUUCCAAGGUCGUGGGCUCCAGGGUGUCCUGGUGGAAGGGACUCCAAUAUCCCGGCGUGGAGCUGCAGGGAGGGAGGGGGACACCAGCCAGGCCGAGUCCGAGCCCCUCCGCCUCCGUCCCCCAGCUCUGUGACCGCCUGCCCCACCUGUACCCACCCGGGGCUUGGCAGACAGCAGGCGCUCGGUGUGGGCUUGCUUUGGGAGGGGUGGGUAGCAGCCCUCCGCCUUGCCUGACGCACCGCCCGGCCUGCCCACCACGACUCCGACCUCUCCCCGACAAGAAGGUCUCUGGGGCGCCCCUGUUCCCACACCAGAGCAGUGGGAGCAGGAAGCCGGGGUCCCCUGGGAGCAGCGUCUCUGGAAGGCCUCAUUAG
rnacentral:lncRNA from 12 species